rnacentral:rRNA from 1 species
CCUACGGGAGGCAGCAGUGGGGAAUCUUCCACAAUGGACGAAAGUCUGAUGCAGCAACGCCGCGUGAGUGAAGAAGGGUUUCGGCUCGUAAAGCUCUGUUGGUAGGGAAGAAAGAUAGAGGUAGUAACUGGCCUUGAUUUGACGGUAAUUACUUAGAAAGUCACGGCUAACUACGUGCCAGCAGCCGCGGUAAUACGUAGGUGGCAAGCGGUGUCCGGUUUUAUUGGGCGUAAAGCGAGUGCAGGCGGUUCAAUAAGUCUGAUGUGAAAGCCUUCGGCUCAACCGGAGAAUUGCAUCAGAAACUGUUGAACUUGAGUGCAGAAGAGGAGAGUGGAAUUCCAGGUGUAGCGGUGGAAUGCGUAGAUAUAUGGAAGAACACCAGUGGCGAAGGCGGCUCUCUGGUCUGCAACUGACGCUGAGGCUCGAAAGCAUGGGUAGCGAACAGGAUUAGAUACCCGAGUAGUC